rnacentral:lncRNA from 1 species
UCAUUGGCUUGUAAUCCAUUGCUGCCGUUUAUUUUUUUUCAUUUUUAUUUUUUAAAGAGAGAGAGAGAGAGAGAAUUUUUUAAUAUUUAUUUUUUAGUUUUCGGUGGACACAACAUCUUUGUUUGUAUGUGGUGCUGAGGAUCGAACCUGGGCCGCAUGCAUGCCAGGCUAGCGUGCUACUGCUUGAGCCACAUCCCCAGCCCCAGCUGCUGUUUAUUUUAAUGCUUGAAUUGUCACAGAUCUGGCCCACAAAAGCCCAUUCAAGCCAACUUUUGUGUCCAUUUCACAUGUCCCUAUGGUUUUCCGAAUACUUCCUUCCUUCCUGAUACACAGUGUCUCAAGGAUCAUCUUUUAUUUUUUCCUGUCCAGCCCUGGAAUCAGUUACUUCUCCAAGGAGCCCCGGUUCUAUUUAAUAGAAAGUGGUUAAUUUAGAAACCAAGAUCUGGAUACUAGGAGUGCUUGUUGCUUUUGACCUGUGGCUGCUUUCAGGCCCUCUCAGUAGACACUUUUCAUUUGUAGGUAGAUAGGUAGGUAGAUAGAGAGAAAUGAUAAAUAGAGUCUUAACCAAAAACUCCGUCCCUGUCCCCAAUGCCAAUUAAUGUCAAUUUAAUAAUGAAGACAUGGUUUUGAGAAAAAGGAAAAAGAAGUUUUAAUGCUUUGCUAGCAAAAGAGAAACACAAGGGAUUCCCGUCCUGCUGGGAGCCAUUAGCCAAGUUGGUAUGACAAUUUCCUUGCCAGCGUACCCCAUGUUGCAGUGACAUUGAAUGUAUAUGACCUUGCUCAAGGACCAAGGCAGAUUAGGGUGUUCCCGGUUUUAAGAUAAUCUUGUUUAGGGCGUUCCCAGUUUAGGUUCCAGGUUUAAGGUUUAAGAUUAUUCCUGCUGGGAAUAGGGCGUAUCCUGCUGCCUGAGUUCCCCUUGAGUUCUCACGGGAUUUAGACAAUAUAUUUUGGAGAUAGAAGCCCAGUGGAGGUGAUUUUGGGCAGAGAAUGUGAUUUUGGGCAGAGAAUGUGAAUUUGGGCAGAGAACGUGGAUUUGGGCAGAGAACGUUGGAUUUCCCCAGAACGUGAUUGUAGACGGCUGGUGUGAGUUCGGGAAUAAAGAGUUGCUGUUUGAAUCUACAAGCUGUGUGGUGGCUCGUGAUUGUGUGCCCAGCCAGACUGCGGCACCGUCCCAAAGGCUGUGCCUCUCCCCACCAGGAGGAACAGGGAGAUUUUAAAGGAGCUCUUCAAGGGCUACAUUCCAGGUGUGCCCUGACAGGGAGCCCAGGGUGUUUUGAGAUUCACUUGUUAAUUGAAUUGUCACUUCCUAGAUCCUCUGGCUGACAUCUCCUUCAUGUGGAGCAUAGAAAAUUCAGGUUAAUCUUGCACCCCGCCCUGCCUGUGGGAGGGGGGGAGUGGGGAAGGGGGCAGAUUAGGUGGGAGAAGAGGGAGAAAAGGAAAAGGAAAGAAUGUCCCUUUUAUGUUUGUAUAUAUUUAC